rnacentral:tRNA from 1 species
GGAGGCAUAGCUCAGUGGUAGAGCACUUGCCUAGCAUGCACAAGGCCCUAGGCUCAAUCCCUGGCACCACCA